GAUGAAGAACGUAGCGAAAUGCGAUAAGUAGUGUGAAUUGCAGAAUUCAGUGAAUCAUAGAAUCUUUGAACGCACAUUGCGCCCCUUGGUAUUCCAUGGGGCAUGCCUGUUCGAGCGUCAUUUGUACCUUCAAGCUCUGCUUGGUGUUGGGUGUUUGUCUCGCCUCUGCGUGUAGACUCGCCUCAAAACAAUUGGCAGCCGGCGUAUUGAUUUCGGAGCGCAGUACAUCUCGCGCUUUGCACUCAUAACGACGACGUCCAAAAGUACAUUUUUACACUCUUGACCUCGGAUCAGGUAGGGAUACCCGCUGAACUUAAGCAUAUCAAUAAGCGGAGGA
rnacentral:misc_RNA from 1 species